rnacentral:rRNA from 1 species
GAAGCACCGGCUAACUCCGUGCCAGCAGCCGCGGUAAUACGGAGGGUGCAAGCGUUAAUCGGAAUUACUGGGCGUAAAGCGCACGCAGGCGGUUGAUUAAGUUAGAUGUGAAAUCCCCGGGCUUAACCUGGGAAUGGCAUCUAAGACUGGUCAGCUAGAGUCUUGUAGAGGGGGGUAGAAUUCCAUGUGUAGCGGUGAAAUGCGUAGAGAUGUGGAGGAAUACCGGUGGCGAAGGCGGCCCCCUGGACAAAGACUGACGCUCAGGUGCGAAAGCGUGGGGAGCAAACAGGAUUAGAUACCC